GCCUGGGUGGCUCAGUCUGUUGAGCGUCUGACUUCAGCUCAGGUCAUGAUAUCGGGGUCUUGGGAUCGAUCCCCUUGUCAGGCU
rnacentral:tRNA from 1 species